CAGCAGCCACGGUAAUACGUAGGUGGCAAGCGUUGUCCGGAAUUAUUGGGCGUAAAGGCUCGCAGGCGGUUUCUUAAGUCUGAUGUGAAAGCCCCCGGCUCAACCGGGGAGGGUCAUUGGAAACUGGGAAACUUGAGUGCAGAAGAGGAGAGUGGAAUUCCACGUGUAGCGGUGAAAUGCGUAGAGAUGUGGAGGAACACCAGUGGCGAAGGCGACUCUCUGGUCUGUAACUGUCGCUGAGGAGCGAAAGCGUGGGGAGCGAACAGGAUUAGAUACCCCCGUAGUCCCUGUCUCUUAUACA
rnacentral:rRNA from 1 species